rnacentral:lncRNA from 1 species
UCUUUUCACCUCUCUCUCUCUUUCCCAAAUGUAUCAAAUUAUCAUUUAUAUUUGUAUAUCAAGUAUUUAUCAUUUGUAUUAGAGUGGUUCAAUUAGUAUCAACAAACAUAAUUUCUAUUAAACCGUAUAAAAUAUAAUACAUAUUGAAACGGAAUAAAAAAUACCAAACACAUAUUAAUUAGAUGAAUUUAAACCAAAAAAUGUAAUUGAAAUAGAAUAGAAAAUGCAUAAUACAUAUUGAAUAGAAAAAAUGAAACAAAAAUACAAAUAACUGAAAAUAGAAUAUAAAAUUUCUAAUAUAUAUUGACUAGAUACAUUAAAAAAAAAAUACCUCUCAAACAAAUGAGUGUUAUGCAUUAUAUAAUCUACAUUAAUAUGAAAAAAUGUUGUUUCAGUUGUAUAUGUACUAAUAAUAAUUACGUAUACACGUAAAUUCAGCUAUACAUAGGACCCAUUUGGCCAUAGAUUUCCCAAAUAAUAUUAGGCAAAAAACUUGGCAAAGAAUGUUUGAUCAUACAAUUUAUCAUUAUUUAGUAAAUUUAUUUGGCAAAUAAUUCAAAUUUCCAAAUAUGAGAAAAUGCUAGUUUUUGGGCCAAAUUUCAAUGUUUGUGAACUUUUAAAAAUAAAAUGUGUUUUUUAAAUACUAUGGCCAAAUAUAUGGUGAAAUUUCACCCAAAAUGACUUGUCAAAAAUAUUUGAAAAUCUAUAGCCAAAUGCUAGCAUAGAAUAACAUGCAUACAAUUCUUCAAAAAGUAAAUAAGGGGGAAAACAUGUAUUUAAAAAUAAUACGUUCAUCUUUCAAGAAUUUCUUUGAGUUAAGCUAAUGGUAUUGUAGAGGAUAAUAAAGCAUUGCAUAAAGUUAAUUUGGGAUUGCAAAGGAUGAUAAGCUACUACUAGCAAUUCGAUACGUUAAGAUAGAACUCUAUAAUAUUUGGUUAUCGUAUUGAAUACAACUUGUGGCCAGAGUAUAACUAACAGGAGAGAGAUUCAGAAGAAAAUUUGAGGGAGAGGGGGAGGCGAGUGAGACUGGGAGAAUAUUGAUUAAGGCCUCAUUUGUUUGCACUUAAUGGAGGUCUGAAUCUAAAUGGUUCAGACUUCAGACCAUUAAGUUUAUUUGUUUUUUAUUAAGAUUUUAGUUCUUAAUAAGUCUGAAUAGGUUUUAAUCAUUCAGAUCUAGAACCAAGUCUUAAUAGGUCAGAAGAGAUAUUCUGGUGUUUGAUAAUAUUUAUCACUCUAUUCAUAAUCAACAGUCACCACCACCAACCACCUCUACCACCGCUACCAUUGUCAACCACCACCCACCACCACCAACCACCUCCACUAUCACAACCAUCAUCGACAACAAAUAUCGUUACCAACUACUAUUGUCAACCGCUACCGCACCUACUGCCUCUAUUAUUCUAUUAUAUUCACCGCCGCCAUCGGCGUCGACAACACCACCAUCAUCAACCACUACUGGCCAAUCCCUACUACCGACCAGCUCUUCUAUCACAACUAGAACCACUAUUAACUACCACUAAUACAUCACAACCUCUACACAUUUUUUGGCCGCCACCACCAUUGUCACUAGUAAUGUCACUUCUACCACCACUUCAACCACUACCAUCACUAUAAUUUAUCUCUACUAACAACCAUCUCAACCAUUCCAACAAACAACAUCUCCAACUAGCACCAACACAUCAUCAACCAUUAUGCAUUUAUGUUUCAGCCAACACAAACAACACCUCAAACUAAUAACAUCAAGCAACAUCACAUCACCACCACCAUCAAUCGCUAGCAUCAUAACAGUCACUACAAUACCAAUCAUCACAACUAUCACCACCAACAUUAUUUAUCAUCAACAUCAAUCAUUGUCAUCACAACCACCAUUAUAAAUCAUCUCCAUUAUCACAAACAAACAUUAAUAUUUUUUCUCAAUCAAAUAAUGUUUUUGUUGUAUUAAAUUACAUACUUUUAUAAUACAUAAUUAAUUUUUCAUUUGAAUUGUAUUUUUUAUUUUAUUAUAUAUACAAAUAAUUUUUUUUUGCAUAUUCAAAUGUUGAAAAACAAACAGUCUUAAUCAUUCAGUUUUCAGAUCUAGAGACAACAUCUCAAUCAUUCAGAUGUGCAUUCAGAUUCAGACGUUUGAAUCUUAAAAAAACAAAUGCACCCUAAAUGUAUUGAAAUAAAAAAAAGGGGGGCAGCAAGAGAGAGAGAGGGGCAACGAGAGAUAGGGGCGAAUGAGAUUGGGAGAGAGUGAUGAGAGAGGAAUAAGAAAAGAGAGGCUAUGGAUUGUAUUUAAUUAGAGGAAGAAACUAUGUAUUGUAAUUAAUUGAAAUUGUGAAAAUUAUCUCCUACCUAUUUACUAGAUUGAAAAUUGUAAGUUGUAGCAACACUUUUAGAUAUUAUUUUAUCAAGAAUUUAAUUGCAAGUUGUAGCAACUUUUUAAAAAAUUAGUUUAUUUUAAUUUAUUUUAAAAAUCAAAAAUAUAUUUUCAGAAAUAAAAUUAGCUUCUUUUUUAUAGGGUAGUAUUCAAUGUCUCCUAAAAUAAUGUGUUGAUAAUUAUGAUAAGAGUAAAAUAUGAUCAAAAUUAUAUAUCUCAUUUAUUAUCAUAUUUAUUUCAUCCAAAAAUACUCUUGAUAUACUUUUCAUAAAUUUCUUUCAAUUUGUUGAAACCCAUCAUUCUCUUCUUAAUUUUUAUUUCUGGACUGUUUUUCUCUCUUCAACCUUAUUUUUCUAUUGUUAGUUCUUUUAUUUUACAAGGCAUCAUUGAUAUUAGGUUCAAAAUUAUUUUCUUUGGAUUAGCCAUCUUCGUUUCAUGACAAUAUUUUUUUACAUAAUAUAAUUUGAGCUAAUUUCAAGCAAAGUGAAAUAUUUAUUAUUUUACAUGUUUAUCUUCUUCUUUUUCAUUAUAAAUCUGUAUGGAGUACGAAUGGUUAUUGUAUUUUAUGUGUGCGGUGUAUUGAAGAGGUAUUCAAACUGAUAUCAUCUAAAUUGAAUAUAAAAAUUCAUACAUACCAGUUUUUAUACCUAUUCAUGCACUAAAACAAUUAACAACAUAUAAAUUUUGGUGAGCACUAGUUUUCAUACAAAUUUCAGUCCUUAAUUAUUGUACACCUUGUUAAAAAUAUUGUAUGAAACUAAUAUAAAAGAUUGAUAUGACAUAUAUAUUUUUAAAAUAUGGUCUGAAAAUGGUAUAAAAACAUAGUAUGAAAAGUGUAUAGAAAAUAGUGUUCUGAAUGAUUAUUUAGUUACCUUCUAGAAUCAUCAUGUGAAAAGGUAUAAAAUUUGGUGUCUCAUAUGGUUAUUUAAUUAACGCCUAGAAAUAUGAUAUAAAAAGGGUAUAGAAACCGGUGUCCCAAAUGGUUAUUUGCUUACAUCCUACAAAGAUGGUAUGAAAAUGAUAUAAAAACUGAUGUGUCGAAUGGUGAUUUAAUUAUCUUCUACAAACAUAAAAAAUAUGUAGAAAUUGGUGUCCUGUAUGGUUAUUUGAUUAGCACCUAAAAAUAUGAUAUAAAAAGGAUAGACAAAUUGGUAUCCUAAUUAGUUAUUUAACUCUUUUUUAGAAACAUUGUAUGAAAAGAAUACAAAAAAUGGUGUGAAGUAAUAACACUAUAAAACCAUAGUUUACUUAGUGAUAUUGUUGAAUUCUGAGGAUGAAGCUACAUUUUGUCUUGUGUUCUGAUUCAUAUAAAGAAAUUGCUAAAUAUCACUUACAUCUCAUCUUCCUCCAUGCAUCACAAGCAGAGAAUGUAAACUAUCACCAUCCAUUUUAAAUUCGAAUCAAAUUUGGAAGAAGAAGAAGAAAACUAUAACGAAUUAAUUUAAGAAAAAAUCGUGAAGAAAAAGAAAAAUUCAAUGUCUGAUAAUGAAGAUUUGAGAAAAAAAAAUCGUAUGAUUUCUAAUGAAGAAGGAAAGAACCGUUUAGAGGGGGAAAGGGGAGAUGAUUGAUAUCCUAAUAAUAACUAUCACUUUUUUUAAUGGGUAUGGAAUCUUUUUUUCCUUAUAUUUAAUUUAUAUUUUAUUUUUUAAUUAAAUAAAAAAAUUAUUUCCUUUUUAAUACCGAAAUUCGCUACAACUUGCAAAAUAAAAUUUUUUCUAUAAUUGCAUUUAACCAUCUAAGGAUGAUUAUUUUGAUUUUUAAUCCAUUGAAAUUUAGGUUGUGUAGGGUAAUUAGGGGCUUAUUUUUACUAUGUCCGGUAGUUUUAACAAAAAUAAAAGAGAAGGGAUAAUUAAGGUCAAUAUUCAUUUGGUCAUCUAGUUUGUAUUACUCCGUCAUUUCAAUUUGUUUCUUUGAUUUCGACUUGGCACGAAAUUUAAUAAAGUAAAACAGACUUAAAUUUUGUAGGUUGUACUAAAAUAUCCUUUAAUCUUGUAGUUUUAAACAAAAGGAUAUUAUUUUAUAUGUACUUUUAGAUUGGUUAUUGCAAGUUGUAACUAGACUUUUGUGUAAUUAUUGAACUAUGAAAUUAAUUUCAAGUUGUAGAAGAUAUUAAAAAUCUAUUAAAAUUUUUAUUUUUUUAAAUUUUAUUUUUACAUAUAUAUUAAUUAAAAUCCCUCCUAAUUUUUUGUGUGUAUCAUAUAUAUGCAUGUAUGUAUGUAUUGUAGACAUUGAAAAUUUGUGAACUCUACAAGAAGAAUUCAAUUUAUGUUAGAGUUCUAAAAUUGGUGGGACUCUUCAAGAAGAAUUCAAAUUCUAUUAGAGCUCUUGGAGGCUACUCUAUCCUAAACCCCGAAUUAUGCCUAUAUAAAAGGAAAAAUAUCCCUUUAAAGAUGCAUCUCAAAAGUCCUAAUAAAUUCAUGGGAUAUUAAUAAAGGGAUAAAAACCUUCUCUUUCUGAUAAUCAUAUACAUCAAAAAGAUCUACAAACUCUUAUUUCAUGGAGAAAAUCCAUAUCAAAUCCAAAUAUUUCUAUGUUCGAGAAAUACGCUACUAAUGACCCUCGAAUUAAGGAGAAAAUCAAGAGAGAAGAAUCAAGGAAGGAACAGAUUUGUACCCACAUCGUUUAUCAAUAAAAAUUAUUAGUUUUUCAUAUUUUUACUUGUGGUUGAAGUUUAUUUUUCAUGAAUUAAAUUAUGUUGCAAACAAAUUGGCACGCCCAAUGGGACCUAAUUUGCCCUUCAUCUCUUCUCUCAUAAAUCAAAUAUACAAAUCUGUAGCUGCAGGAUCAUAAACAUGGAAGCGGUAUUUCAAGACUAGUCUUUAAAUUUCAUCAAGUCUACACUCCGACAAGCCUUGAAGUAGAGAGCACUUGUAGACAUUGAAAUUUUCUGAACUCUACAAAAAGAGUUUAUUUUUUCUAGAGUUCUUGGGGGAUACUUUACCCUAUGUCUAGCUUGGUGGCUCUUCUACCUAAACCUCAAAUUACGCCUAUAUAAAGGGGAAAAAUAUCCCUUUAAAGAGGCUAUCUCCAAGAUCCACAAAUUCAUGAGAUAUUCAUAAAGAAAUCAAAUAUCUCUAGAUAAUUUCAUAAACUCAUAGAAUAUCAUAAAAGGAUCAAAAUCUUUUCCUCCCUUGUUUCUUCUCUCUUGAUUUUCUCCUUAAUUCGAGGGCCUUCAGUAGCGUAUUUCUCGAAUGUAGGAAGAUUUGGAUAUAAAUUUCUCCGUAAUUCAAGGAUCAUUAGUGGAAUAUUUUUCGAACGUAGGAACAUUUGGAUUUGAUAUGAAUUUUCUCAGUAAUUCAAGGGCCGUUAGUGGCGUAUUUUCGUAAAGUAGGAAUUUUUGGAUUUGAUAUCCAUGAAAGAAGAAUUUGUGGAUCUUGAUGUAUUUAAUUAUUAAGAAGAGAGGAUUUUGAUCCUUUUGCGAUACUCCUUGUGUUUAUGGAAUUAUCUAGAGAUAUUUGAUUUCUUUAUGAAUAUCUCAUGAAUUUGUUGAUCUUGGAGAUAGCCUCUUCAAAGGGAUAUUUGCCCCCUUUAUAUAGGCAUAAUUUGGAGUUUAGGUAGAGUAGCCACUGAGCUAGAUUUAGGGUAAAGUAGCCCCCAAGAACUCUAGAAAAAAUUAAACUUUUUUUGUAGAGUUCACAAAACUUCAAUUCUACAAAUGCCCCCUAUUUCAAGGUUUGUUGGAGUGUAGACUUGAUGAAACUUAAAGACGAGUCUUGAAGUACCGCUUCUAUCUUUACGAUCCUGCGGCUACAGAUUUGUAUAUUUAAUUUAUGAGAGAAGAGAUAGAGGGCAGAUUUGGUCCCAUUGGGCGUGCCAAUUUGUUUGCAACAUAAUUUAAUUCAUGAAAAAUAAACUUCAACCACAAAUAAAUAUAUGAAGAAACAACAAUUUUUAUUGAUAAACGAUAUGGAUAUAAAUCUGUUCCUCCCUUGAUUCUUCUCUCUUGAUUUUCUCCUUAAUUCAAGAGUCGUUAGUAGUGUAUUUCUCGAACAUAGAAAUAUUUUAAUUUGAUAUGGAUUUUCUCCAUGAGAGGAGGGUUUGUGGAUCUUCUUGAUGUAUUUAAUUAUUAAGAAAAGGGGGUUUUAUCCUAUUAUGAAGAUCCCAUGAAUUUAUUGGGACUUUUGAGAUAUCUCUUUAAAAGGAUAUUUGCCCCUUUAUAUAGGCAUAAUUUAGGGUUUAGGAUAGAGUAGUCUCCAAGAACUCUAAUAUUAUUUGAAUUCUUCUUGAAAAGUCCCACCAAUUUUAGAACUCUAACAAAAAUUAAAUUCUUCUUGUAGAGUCCACAAAUUUUCGAUGUCUACAAAUUUCCCCUACUUCAAGGCUUGUCGGCAUGUAGACUUGAUAAAACUCAAAGACGAGUCUUGAAGUAUCCAUAGAGCUUCCAUCUUUACGCCUUUCGGUUACAGAUUUGCAUAUAUGAUUUAUGAGAAAAGAGAUGAAUGGUAGAUUUGGUCCCACCGGACGUGCCAAUUUGUUUUCAACAUAAUUUAAUUCAUGAAAAAUAAAUUUCAACCAUAAACAAAAAUAUGAAUAAACAAGAAUUUUAUUGAUGAAGAAUAUGGGUACAAAUCUGUUUCUCCCUUGAUUCUUCUCUUUUGAUUUUUUCUUUAAUUCGAGGGUCGUCAGUAGCAUAUUUCUCGAAUGUAGGAAGAUUUGGAUAUGAAUUUUUCCAUAAUUCGAGGGUCGUUAGUGGCAUAUUUCUUGAACGUAGAAAUAUUUGAAUUUUAAUAUGAAUUUUCUCCGUAAUUCGAGGGCCGUUAGUGGCGUAUUUUCCGAAAGUAGGAAUGUUUGGAUUUGAUAUCCAUGAAAGGAAGAUUUGUGGAUCUUGAUGUAUUUGAUUAUCAAGAAGAGAGGAUUUUGAUCCUUUUGUGAUAUUCCAUGUGUUUAUGAAAUUAUCUAGAGAUAUUUGAUUUCUUUAUGAUUAUCUCAUGAAUUUGUGGAUCUUGGAGAUAGCCUCUUUAAAGGGAUAUUUCCUCCCUUUAUAUAGACAUAAUUUGGGGUUUUAGUAGAGUAGCCACCAAGCUAGAUUUAGGGUAAAGUAGCCCCCAAGAACUCUAGCAAAAAUAGAACUCUUUUUGUAGAGUCCACAAAAAGAGUUCUAUUUGUAGGCGUAAAAUUAGAAAUUUACAUAUAUAUAUAUAUAUAUAUAUAUAUAUAUAUAUAUACACAGUUCUAUUUGUAGGCGUAAAUUUAGAAAUUUACAAUUAUCAUUACUUAAAUACACGCUUUUUUGUUUGCAGAAAAAGCUACAAUUAUUUACUUCUCAAGUAAUACACAUUUGUAUUUGAAUUUAUUAAAAAUAUAUUCUUAUAUUUUUUACAUGUAUGAAAUGGGUGUAUAUAAAUUAUUUUAAUUGAUUUUGUAUAUCUGUUUAAAAACAAACAAGAUUAGUGUAUUGAUUGUGUGUGAAAUAUGAUGUCUAACUAAUUAGUGUAUCUUGAUAUUCAUUAUGACCUGCAGACCUACUACUUUCACCAACAACAAAGUUAUUUUGCAUAACAUCACCAUGAAUACUACGGAAUCUGAAAAAGUCCUCGUGAAAUUCCUUUCUAUAAAGAUAUUCCUUUACAACUUCUUCACUUACAAGAUUUAUAUCAUCACAUCUAACACAAGGACAACGAAUAUCCCCAAAACGUGUCCAAACAUCAAGUGGCUUAGCAUGUUCAACGAAUCUUUUGACACCUUCAAUAAUUUUCUCCCUAAUACCCAUUCAAUUAUCAUUGUUCCGUUGAUAUCCAGCUAUAAUUAGGUUCCAUCGAUGCAAUCAAUCAGAUUCAACUAAUUAGAUUAAGUCACAAAAAUUCAAUCAAGUCACCUUAACCAUUUUCAAGCAACUAAGUCACCUACCAAACCACAUUCAAAACAAGAAAUUUCACUUUAAAGUCCCUACACUUAAUCAUUUUCAAGCAACUAAGUCACCUACCAAACUACAUUCAAAUAAAAAAAAAAUCUCUUUUAAAGUCCUUACACUUAACCAUUUUCAAGCAACUAAAUCACCUACCAAACCACAUUCAAAAUAAAAAAAAUUCCCUUUAAAGUCUCCACACUUAACCAUUUUCAAGCAACUAAGUCAACUACCAAACCACAUUAAAAAUAAAAAAAAUCACUUUUAAAGUCCCUAUACUUAAUCAUUUUCAACCAACAAAGUCACCUACCAAACAACAUUCAAAACAAAAAAAUCCCCUUUAAAGUCCCUACACUUAACCAUUUUCAACUAACUAAGUCACCUACCAUACCACAUUCAAAACAAAAAAAUUUCUUUUAAAGUCCUUACACUUAACCAUUUUCAAUCAACUAAGUCACCUACCAAACCACAUUCAAAACAAGAAAAUUCGCUUUAAAGUCCCUGCACUUAAACAUUUUCAAGCAACUAAGUCACCUACCAAACCACAUUCAAAACAAGAAAAUCCGCUUUAAAAUCUCUACACUUAAUCGUUUUCAAAAGGAAUUAAGUCACCUACCAAACCACAUUAAAAAAAAAAGCUCUCCUUUAAAGUCCCUACACUUAACCAUUUUCAAACAACUAAGUCAACUACCAAACCACAUUCAAAACAAAAAAAUCCUCCUUAAAGUCCCUACACUUAACCAUUUUCAACCAACUAGGUCACCUACCAAGCCACAUUCAAAACAAAAAAAAAUCUCUUUUAAAGUCCCUACACUUAACCAUUUUCAAGCAACUAAGUCACAUACCAAACCACAUUCAAAACAAGAAAAUCCGCUUUAAAGUCCCUACACUUAACCAUUUUCAACUAACUAAGUCACCUACCAUACCACAUUCAAAACAAAAAAUUUUCUUUUAAAGUCCUUACACUUAACCAUUUUCAAUCAACUAAGUUACUUACCAAACCACAUUCAAAACAAGAAAAUCCUCUUUAUAGUCUCUACACUUAAUCAUUUUUAAGCAACUAAGUCAACUACCAAACCACAUUCAACACAAAAAAUUUUCUUUAAAGUUCCUACACUUAACCAUUUUCAACCAAGUCACCUACCAAACCAAAUUUAAAACAAAAAUAUUUCCUUUAAAGUCCCCACACUUAACCUUUUUCAAGUAACUAGGUCAACUACCAAACCACAUUCAAAACAAAAAAAAUCUCUUUCAAAGUCCCCACACUUUGUUGACACCCAAUUUUGACUCUCCCUUUUUCCUUUAAUUACUUUUCCAAAGCUUCUUGACCAUAAAUAAUUUUCAAAAAUUAAAUAAAAAUAAGAUUCGUAUUUUUGUUUCUAUUUCUAUAAGUUUUAAUAAAAAGGGAAUUUAUUUUUAUUUAUAAACUUACUUUAAUUAAAUAUAAUUAAAUAUUUUGACAUCAAAAUCACAAAAUAUAUAUUUUUUGGUGGUCGCAUUCGCAUUCUUUCUUACUUUAUUUUUGAGGCAAUAUUGUAACCUUAUAUGUAUAUUUUUAUUACACAAAAUAUAUUUUUAUAAGAUGUACAUAUAUUAUUAUUAUAUUCUUAUUUUAUGUAUUUUAUUAUAUUCUUAUAUAUACAUAUAUAUAUGUAUUUUGUUUAUAGGAAAGUUGCAAAAUAUUACGCUAGACGUCUGUACAAAUUAUGUCUAUAAACUAAAAAAAUAAUUUUUAGAAUAUCAGGAAGCAUCGAUAAAUUUAAUUUCAAUAGAAAAAGAGUAUUCGGGCUAACAAUAAUCCAACUUUUAUUUUAUUUUAUUUUAUUUUUCACCUGAACCCAACUCUUAUUUUAUGAAUUUCAGCCAUGAGCCCAGAUAUCAGCCCAAGUCAGUAUAAUUUCUAUGCCCGCUUCGUCAUUCCGCCUUAACAAAUAUAAUUUGACCCAAUCUGUCAAUUUAUUUUGAAUUCGAGGGGUCUCGAAUUUUCAAAUGUUGAUAUAUAUAUAUAUAUAUAUAUANNNNNNNNNNNNNNNNNNNNNNNNNNNNNNNNNNNNNNNNNNNNNNNNNNNNNNNNNNNNNNNNNNNNNNNNNNNNNNNNNNNNNNNNNNNNNNNNNNNNNNNNNNNNNNNNNNNNNNNNNNNNNNNNNNNNUCCAUUCAAAGAUCGAACGGAUCAAAAAAUAAUCAAUUCUUAAUUAAUUUUUUGUAUAUUUAUUUAUAUAUAAUUUGUAUUAUUAUUUUUAAGGUGCUAUUACAUCGGAGGAAUAAAAAUGGAUCAAUACGUGCAAGAUCAGUGCAAUAAAUAAAAAAGUUCACGCAUCUGCUUUUGGCAAAAAUAGGCGUAACUCUCUUCCUAAAACUGCCAAAAUAGGCGUAACUCUCUUCCUAAAACAAUAUUGAUUGAUCUCCUUCCCAAAACAACAACGAUGGCCUCCUUCCCCUCUUCUCCUCUUUCAACCUUCUCCUCUCACCCCAAAUGAGAAAUCUUAAGAUCUCCAUAGCUGGCCACCGUCUGCCACCUACCCAUAUGAAUCUUUCAUUUUUAUCACCCCAAGCCAGCAAAUUACCAAAAAUCAGAGAAAAUCAGUCCCUAAUUUGUGCAAAAAUGAAAAUUUCUGAGGAUUCGCAGCUAAAGCUUGAUAAAAACUGAAAUUUUUGUAGAUGAAUGUCAUAAUUUUGAAUUCAAAUCUCAUCUCCAUAAAAAUAUGCUUCAAAUCCAGACUUUGGAGUUCGGAUUUAGGCUAUAAAUAGCCCCAAAAUCGCCAUCAUCAGGAAAAACUUAGAGAUUAAAGGAAAAACUCGACAAGAAGCCCAAGUUUGCUGCACAAUACAAGGUGUGAAUCUGCUUCCUUUUAAUUCAUUUUCUUUUUCCUCCCUUUGUGCAUGUCGAUUCUGUGAAUACGAAAUUCAUUGUGAUCGCUAAUUAGUGUUGUUGUUGUUGUCUUGGCGUUACGGAUGGGAGUGUGGUUAUAAUUUAGUUAUUUGAUCCUCGAGCAUGUCCUUUAAUUUAGAUUCUGGCUGAAAAAAUGAUUUUUGGUACAAGUUUCGAUCAAGUUGUAAGUUGUCGUUAAUCCCAGUGGGUCUAAAUGUGAUCGUUCAUCGGGUUUAAGUUGUUGUUUGGGUGUGAGUGGUUAAGUAUUAAUUCUGUUAGUCUGUAGAACUAGGUGUACAAUGUGAAUUUUUUAUCAAGCUUACGUUGGUUUUGACUCAGAAAUUGAUUCGUGUAUAAAUGUGUGAUUCUCUUGUUGUUACGUUUAACCUAUUUUGCUUUUGCCGAAAAACACAACUUUUGCAGUCAUAUUAUAUGUAUGUAGGAGUCUGUGUGCAUGCCUCGCUCUUCCCUUUACUCUAUUUCCUUUCAAACUUCAAAUACAUGCUUAAUAUGGUAUCACGAAUGACUUUUAAAUAUAUACCAUGCCUUUGAUUGUGUGAAUUUCCCCUUCCUGCUCUACUUUCUCUUCAUCUCAUUUUUUUAUUUUAUUUUUAUUAUUAUUUUUGAGACAUGUUGUUUUCUGUCUUUAAGUUUUGUUGUUGAUGCCUUCAUCGACCCCGUGAAUAGGAUAAAUCUAACUUCGUGAAAUUGCCUUUGGUUCAAAACCAACUUUUAUGAAUACAUGACCGAUAAAUACGCGAAUGGUUUGGGCUACCUCAGAUUCGGUUCAUAUUAGCACCUAUGUUCGCUCCCUACAAACUAAGUUUAGUAUAGAGCUUUGAAGUUGUCCAGUUGCUUGAUGUGGUUGCUUUAAAUAUUAAUAUUGUUUGUUGCUGCAUUUGGUCCUAUGAGCAAGUAUCCGGGUCUAUCUCAAGAUCACAUUUAUGUAUAUACAAGUUCUUGGGCACGAAAAUACAAGACAUAAUUUGGUUUGAUUUCCGAUUAUGGUAUUGCUGUCCAUUUUUUUGUAAAAUCAGGUCCGACAACAUGAUUUUAUUUUAAGUUACAUGGUUGUCCAUUUUACAUAGAUAUGGUUUGGGUUCGUUUAUUGGGUAUAUAGCAAAGUCCAUUUUGAUUCGUUUGUCGUAAAACAGACAUCUCCUUAUAAUAAAGAUAAGAGGUUGCAAUUUGAAGUCGUUAUCUAAAUUAGACGGUUAAGGCUCGUGUAUAUUUGGCCUAAGCUUUUUAAAACAAUUUGUUACCAUUUUAAUUUUUUUACGCACUGCACUACUUGAAUUAAAGUGAGCAGGGAAUAGUCUCAAUUAAAUUUUGUUUCAUUCCUACACAUGGUUUGAAAACCAAGAUAAUAUAAUUCAUUUUUGUGAAGGUGCUUCACUCUUUUGGUAUAACUUAACACUAUCAUCACAUAAGCACUUUUCAUAUGAUUUCAAUCUGUAAGAACUUUGUUUGGAGCAUGUCCAGUCAAAAAAAGAAGAGAAAGUCGACCUUAGCUUGCAUAUCUCGUCUAUUACUUGUCAUGGGAGUAUGUUGUAACAGGUUGUUUAAAUUCGUUAAUUGUUUCUUGUCCUCUUGAAUCAAACUAGCUUUUACAUAUGGGAAUACAUGUGUGAAACAUUUUUUCACUAGUGUUUAAUACGUGCUUAUAUUGGUAAGUGACUGUGUUCUUUGAAGCCUACUUAGACAAAUUGUAAAAAUGUACAUUUCUUUAGAUAGACCAAGUGAGUGACUUUGUUGCUAGUAUUACUCACGCGUCCAUGAUAUAGGUGAUGUUUUAGUUAGUAAAUGGAGAUCAUUGGCCUCGAUUGACGCCAUUUUACUAUUGUUAUUCACGUAAGUAGUUAUAGAUUUUGGGUACUUUAUUCUUACAAUUGCUUGAAGGGCAUGAGUUGGGUGCCUAUAUAUUUGAGCGUCUCGAUACUGGUUUGUGAUCUAUGUCAUACUAUUGGAGUAUUUACUUGUUAUCCUUAAUCCUUUUUUAUAUAUAUUUAGCUUGUUUCUAAUCUGUUUCCUUAUUCUUUUCUUUUACAUGUACACUUGGGAGCUGGAGUUCCGCAGUGGAACUCAAUUUGACCCGUAGAAUUGGGUUAACGGCUAUAGGAUCACAGAGCUUGGGGUCUAAAUCGCUAGGAGCCGUUUCCUUCUAUGAGAGUUUAUAGUAUCUAGUCCUUUACCUCUCUCAUGACUUUAUUAUUCGUGUUUGUUUCACUAAGUUUGUGUUACUUUGAUUAUGAAUUUUUAUGUGGCCUUGAUUGAAAUUGAUUACCUUAGUUAAUUUAAUUUUGUUUAAACUUUUAAUCAUCUAGAAUUGAUUUUAUUCGGCCAAUUUCAUAUUUAUUUGAUACUCGUAGAUGUAAUAAUGGUAUCUAUGGUUUAACCACUCCUUGUUACCAUUUUAACCUACGAAUCAAACUUUUUAAUAGUAAAUGGUCAACCUUGUCUUUUAAAUGCAAUUUCAAAGGGAAAUAUAUUUUUGUAAUUGAAAUAAAAUGUUUGGUUAUAGUCCUUUUGCAAAAUACUUAAUUAAUGAGUUUUAUCACUUUAAUUAAAAAAUUUCAAAUAAAUAGUUAUAAAUAGGUUUCAACUAGUUAACCCUCUUAUGUUUUCAAGUAGCUCAUCUAUCAAAUUUGAUUCUUCGUUUAACUCAGCAUAAUCUAAACGUUUAUUACUUUACACUUAUUCCUAACGUUAUUUUAAGUUUUCAGAUUUUACAAAUCUCCAAACAGAAGGUAUGCAGACAUUCGUACACUACCAUAUAUAAGGAAUAUUUUUCACUAUUACUAUUCUUAUUCUUACUAUUGUACUAUUAUUACAUAUUAUCAUUUGUGUGUUAUAUCAAUUCUGCUACCACAUUUUGCUUUACUCACUUUCAAUAUAUUGAAAUCUCAUAAAUCAAGUAAAUUUUUGCAUCUUUCAUAUACUCUCACAAAUAUACAUAUUUAUGUUUAUCUUACAAUGAAUGAACUCUCGCAUACUUUAGAGUAUACUUUUCUAUUUUUAUAACAACUUGUUUAUGUAUUUGACUUAAUAUACCUUUAAACAUAUUUUCAUAUAAAAUUAUGACACUUCUAUAUUUUCUACUACAGGUAUAAUAAAGGUACUACUCUUCUCCAUAUUUCUGAAAACAUUCAUAUAUGUAUUUUGCAAUUGUCAUAUUACGUCCUUGUGUAUUAUAGUAUUACAUCUUAUAUAACUUGAAUAUCAUUUUCGAUAAUAAUAAAAGUUUUCUCAUCAUUGUUUUAAGCAAAUAACAAAAUAAAGUUUUUCUAAUAUUUUUCUAAACUAAGCGUAAGGACUAUCUUCGGAUAGACCCAGAGGGGUGCCUAACACCUUCUCCUCGGGUAACCAAAACUCUAACUCCGAAUCUCUAAAUAUUUUUGAAAGAUCAAAACAGAGUUUUCUACAAAAAAAAAUGGUUUUUCCUAAUUUUCCUAAAAAGUUAGGUGGCGACUCUAAAAAAUAAUUUUCAAAUCCCAAGAGUUACUAAACGCUACCAUACGUCGUGUGUUAUUUCGACUGGUUCGAAAUAGGGUGCGACGGAAUGACAACUCUACUGGGGAAUAAUGAACUUAGGUUUUUUAGCUUAACAUGCUUAGUUUAGGAUUUUUAUGUUUUAUUAUGUUAUUUGCUUUACGUAUCUUUAUUAUGUUAUUUGUUAUUUGCUUUACGUAUCUUUAUAUGUUAUUUGUUUUUGUGUGAAAGGACAGUCAAAUCCAAACUUGUGUUCCUUAUUUGUUUGAACAACACUACUUGUUACUGCUUUAUCACUUGCAUUUUCCUAUCGAGUCUUUGGCCGUACACAAUUCACACACUAUGGUUCACGCGGGGGGUGUAUCUAUACUCCCCUAAACCUUCUUUGGAUUCCUUAGUUUCAGAGUUGAUGCAAUUAGAUUAGUGCACCUUCUCGCAGCUAUUCAGUCCUAUUCUCAAAUAUUUAGGAAAAUAUCUUACUUUAGAAAUAGGUCAUGUCACAUAAACCCUAGGCACGACGGUCCAAGGCAAUGUCAUCGCAAUUAGGAAACCACCCUUUUGUCAAAGGUUACAAACCUGUCGACAUAUUUUGUGUGAUGAUUGAUGUUAACGGUCUAAACUAAAAUAGAUAAUGAAUUUGAGAUAAACGACUUAUCAUAUCAUUUACCCUUUCUUUCAGAUGGAUACCAACCAAACCAUACUAAACAUCCAAAUGAUUGCCUUAGUCCCCCAAAACUUACAAACCUGGUAGCAAAAUAUUCAAGCCGUGCAAGGGUCCAAAGUCAGAGAACACUUAGGCUCUUUGGUGUUCCUCAUAGAUAUUCAGGCCAACGAAGCACUCGUAAAACUAUUGGUUGAGCUUUGGGAUCCAUCCACCACAACAUUUCAGUUUACAGACUUCGAAAUCACCCCAACUUUGGAAGACAUCAGUAGCCUCACGGAUUUUCCUCUUGAAGGAAGGUUGAUGUUAGUCCCAUUGGCCAUGGCAAUGGUUUUUUGCAUACUUUGGGUUUAUGAGAAGACCAUGCACCGAGGAGCAUCAGAUACGGUUGGUUUAACUUGGGUUACCUAUUUCAAAUAUUUGGAUAUCAAAUGAGCUAUGACCAUCACGAGAGGACUUCGCUUGUAGCUGAACUAGGUGGGAGAGUGUUCGCACCGUGUCUUUCGCACUUGCCAUACUGGGAAUUCUAGUUUUUCCUCGAAGAAGGGGACAUAUCAACAUCAACUUGAUGCCUUUGGCUCCUCCCAUGUUCAUCGGUUUUAAGAGAUUGAUGUUAGUGCCAAUACUGCUGGCAGGAUUAUUUCGAUCUUUGUCUGCUUGCUCGAGAGGGAAUGAUUUCUUUGGUGGAUGUAACCUGCUACUUUAAGUCUGGGCCGUAGAAUACUUCUAUCAACGAGCGCCAAUCGAAGAUAACUUAUAGGACGACCCCAACAUGAUAUAAAACCAUGAACAAAGGUUGAGAUUUUGGGAGGCACCACUAGGAUCAGAAGAAUGGUGGGCUUAUCUGACGUACCUCACAGGAGAUGCCAUCCAAUGAAAGCUUCCUGGGAUUACAGGGAAAGCACUAUUGAGAAGGUACACUAGUUAUUUUAUUGAGCUAAUUGGAUUGGAAGGAAUCCAACCGUACGCUCCACUUAGAGUUCAACGUCAAUUUGGCAUAAAACAAAAUAUCCCUUUAUGGUCGUCCAUGGAUCCAGCGGAAAUUACUUACGAAAAAUAAGUGCCUUGGGACAGAAUUACGAAGCUACAGGAAAUAUGGAUGAACAUAUCAGCAGAAAUUGGACAAACAACUUGGUACACCUCAGAGUAUUAUGCAUGGAAAGUAGAAGGAGGUCUAAUAACACGACCAAGCUGGGAAAGGAUUCCUGGGUUGGUGGACUACGACAUGGUGUGUCAGGUGGCGAGGGAAAUACUACCUCACAUGUAUCUUACCACCUCCAUGUACCAACAGGUAGUUCCGGGAUAGGUGGAUCACAUGAUUCCUCCAGACGAUAAUGAUGAUGUUAAGGAAGGCACAAACGAGGAAUUAGGCGACCAAUCCAUGAGGAAUGAAGAUAAUUCAGACUACCCAGAGUGGCUAAUAAAUAAUCAAGAUUUCAUGGACUAUUUUCUGUGCCCACGAGAUGACAAUGACAAUGGCCCCACUUGGCCUUAGACUUCCUUUCUUGUUACACUUUCUAUAUUCCCUAAAUAUCCAUAUGGUCAACCCCUUGUAAGCCCUUGCGGCCAUCCUUGUACUUUCUUUCUAAACUAACUUUGAUCUAUUUUAAUGUAACUAUUUGAAGCCUUUGUUUAAUGAAAGUCAUGUUUAUUCUUAAAUCCAAAUGUGUUUAAAUAAACCGUUUAUCAUCAAAUUGAUUGUAACGUAGGCCUACCUCUGGUGAAAAGAGGCUCUAUAUUAGGACGUGUUUGGAUGUUGUCAACUUGGCGUAUAUAUAUGUUACUUACUUGUUACAUUUUCAUUAUUACCCAAACUAACAUAGUUUUCUUUUGCUUUUUCUUUUCUUCCUUUCUUUUGUUUAUUAAUCCCGAUAAAAAAUAAAAAUAAAAAGUUGAUUUGUGUCGACUGAAAAACUGGUGGAAUCCCAAUACGACCUUCGAUCGAAAGACAAAAUGACUAAUAAAGAUAAGGCCGUGAUGAUCCCAGUAGAUGACACCGCGGGGUUCUAAAUGGCCGUCAGAUACUCAGAAUGAUGAUCAAAUGGCCAAUAUGGCACAGGAAAUUGAGGUCCUAAAGAAGAACUCCAUCAAAUACGGGAUCUAAUCAAGCUUACAAUAGCUAGCUUUCCCGCUCAGCCGCAGGCUCCAAGUAUUGAAUUACGUCCAGGCGUUUCCGCUAACCAAGCAAGUAUACCGCAUGCUCAAGACCUACCAGCUUUUCAACCUACUGUCGAAACUAUACCUACUUAUUCAUUUCCUACCCAGAACUUUACUAUUCCAAUCCAUCCAGAAAUACAACAUAUAUCCAAGGCAUAUGUCACUUGUGAGAUACCUGUGCCACUUAUAUAUGCUACCGAAGCUUCUGCUUUCGCAGCAUCUGCGACUCUUAAGGUUCCAUAUGAGGUUGAUGGAUAUGCAAGAUUGAGAAAAGAUGUCCAAUCAAGUGAAGAAGGGUCUAUAUCAUCCCAGCUUGAGAGUCUAAAGCGAGCAUUCAGACAUAUGCAAGUCACCAGGGAAACUGAAAGUUUGGACUACGAUGACUUAUGCAUUCAUCCAGACAUUGACAUGCCAAUGGGAUACAAACCACCAAAGUUCGAUGUGUUUGACGAAAAAGGUGACCCGCAUGCACACCUGAUGGCUUACUGCGACAAGUUGGUCGGGGUAGGAAGGAACGAGAAGUUGAGAAUGAAGUUGUUCAUUCAGAGUUUGUCGGGAGAAGCUUUGACUUGGUACAUCUGACAAGACCCUCGUAAGUGGCGUGACUGGCAGGAAAUGACUAAGGAUUUUAUGAUUCGUUUUAGAUUUAACACUUAGAUUGCUCUAGACAGGUUCUCAUUGGCUAAUAUACAGAAGAAGUCAUUCGAUUAUUUCAAUAAUAUGCAUGGCGAUGGAGGACCAAGGCUGUAAGGAUCCAGCCUCCUUUGGAUGAAAGUGAGCUCUCCAAAUAUUUUAUCCGAGCAUAAGAGAGUGUUUACUUUGACAAAAUAAUGUUGAUGAUGGGCCAAAAGUUUGCAGAAUUGGUCAAAAUGGGAGAUUUCAUAGAAGAAGCCAUCAAGUCGGGGAAGAUCCAAUCUAUGGUUGUACUGCAAGUAAGGCCAUGCAGAUUGCUUCCAUUAAUGGUAAUAAGAAAAAGAGGGAGGACGUCUCAACCGUCACACCAUACUACCGAUCGGGAAAUUCUUCCCACCAUUACCCUAACAACCCCCAAAUUAUUGCAUACGUCCCAGUGUAUAAUACUCAACCGCAUUAUAAUCCUCCUCGAGAUCCAGCAUACCAAAAUCCACCAAGACCAUACGCCCUUGUCCAAGCUCCAGCUCACCCAAAUAGACCAGCCUAUGCGCCCAGACCACGUCCAAAUUUUGAAGCCAGAAAUAUUUGCACUUACACACCAAUUGCAGAACCUUUGGCCCAGUUGUUUGAGAGAUUGAGGGUUUUCGGUUUUUUGCAUCCAAUUGAGGGGAAGGCCCCUGAUUUGACUUCUCAAAACUUUGACGAUAGCAAGCAGUGCGCCUAUUACUCAGGAGUCCAGGGGCACGAAACGGAAGACUGUUACAUCUUGAAGAAUAAAAUUGAGUCUCUGAUAAGAAGGGAUAUCAUCAAAUGCACCGUCGCAGCUCCCAAUGUGAACAAUAACCCUUUGACAAAUCAUGGAAAUCGAGAAGUCAACAUGAUUACUCUAGAGGAGGAGUACGAUUUGGAAGAAACUAUUAUGCCCACAUGAAGCGCAGAGGAGAUCACCACUGCAUCCCCAGCACAUCCAUUUAUCACAGUUCAGUUGAGGGAGCCUAUAACUGUUCUGACAUACCUGUCGAGAGUUGUAGUGAUCACAUCAGCCACUGGUAGGACCGACUAUGACACUAAGGCAGUCCCAUGGGACUAUCAAGCUAAAGCUAAGGGAAAAAUAAUAGACGUUGUUGCGGCUCAAGGGAUGACCAGGUCGGGAAGGUGUUAUGCGCCAGAGGAACCAAAUCGUGGAGUUAUCCAGAAAGAUCAAAACCCGAAGAGAAAUAUCACAGAUGUUGAAGCUGCAGAAUUUUGAAAGAAGAUGCAGCCCAAGGACUAUUCAGUCGAGGAUCAACUCAAGAUCAAGACACCGACCCACAUAUCCGUCAUGUCUUUGCUUAUGAGUUUUGAAGCCCAAAGAAAUACUUUGAUGGAAGUGUUAUCUGGGAUUAGCAUACCAAAAGGAGACAACUAGCGAAACUUUGGCCGCAACAAUCGGGCGAGUGGUAGAGGCAAAUAAGGUCUCUUUCCAUGAUGAUAAGUUACCGUCAGAAGGAGCUGCACACAACAAAGCGCUCUAUAUUACGGUCAGAUAUCAUGACAAGAUUGUGAACAGGGUCUUGAUUGAUAGUGGUUUGGGUUGCAAUAUCUUUCUGUUCUCCACUCUAAGAGAUUUGAGUGUAAAUAUAGAAGAUAUAAGGGAAAGUCAGGUUAAGGUUAGAGCCUUUGAUGGGUCGCAAAGGAGUGUCAUCGAGGAAAUUUACUUAACACUGCAGAUAGGACCAAUAGAAUUUCCUAUCCUAUUUCAGGUCAUGGAUGUGUCAUCUAGCUACAACCUGUUGUUGGGGAGGCUAUGGGUCCACAUGAAAAGAGUCGUUCCUUCCACUCUCCAUCAAUGCAUGAAGUUUGAAUGGGGUCAUACAGAAGUUACUGUCCAUGGAGAACUUAGUCAUCCUAUUUAUUAUGUCAAUUCAGUCCCAGUCACCGAGGAGUUAGAUAGAGCCACUUUUCAUACUCUGGAGAUCAUGAAAGCUACAAGGAUCAAUGAGAAGGCAAUGCCAGCGAAAGCAAAAAUAUCGAAUAGUAAAAAGAUGGUUGCAUCGGAGAUGUUGAAAUAUGGGUAUCAGCCCAAGACAGGACUAGCACCCAGAGUCGAUGGUAUAGUCGAGCCAAUCCAAUUAAAGCAGCAGAAGGGUACUACAGGGCUUAGAUAUGAGCCCAUUUUUGGAGUAGCCUGCAGUAAAGGAUUUGGAAUGACAGUAUUUGUGCCAGCCCGAGUCCCAAUUUCAAAACAAAUAGAAGAUGAAGAUAUCAUAGAAGGAAUAGGAAAUUUGUUUAUGGCCUGAUCGAAGAAGAAUCGGAGAUAGCUUUCAAGAAGCUCACCAUUCGUGAUGCCGAGCCUGGAGAAGCCUUGCAGAAAUGGACCAUCAGCCCAUCCCUGUUUCGCCAGGAGUCUUGGUAGUGUGGGACUGUUGUUGUCUUUUAAAAAAAAAUUAUUUUGUUUGCAUGAUCAAUUGAGGCUUGAAUCAGGCCUAAGCUCUUUUUUCACUUGCCUCUUGUCAAAGCCAGUGCUUUUAUUAAUAAAAGUCCUUAUUUUCAAAACUUAUUUUCCUAUUUUCAAUAUCUAUUUACUUUACUCGCUUUUUAUACUUUUCAGCACAAAUGUUAAUAAAAAUUCUUGUUCCACGAUUAUGACAUGUAACGAAUCUGUUGAGCAAAACACAAGUGAUGAGAAAGAUUACGAGGAGUAGAAUAAAAGCAUGAUGCCUGAAAACCUACCGCAGAAGAUCGAGCAACUUGAGAGUCAGAAGAAGCCUAAUAUCGAUGAAACUGAAGUCAUCAAUUUAGGUAAUAAGGAGACACUGAAGGAAACAUGAGUCAGCAUACACUUGGAAGAUGAAAGGAAACAGGAAUUGAUAAGGCUGCUCAAACAAUACAUCGAUGUGUUUGCUUGGUCUUACGACGACAUGCCUGGUUUGAGCACUGAUAUCGUCUCGCAUCGACUGCCGACCAACCCCUCAGGUUCACCGAUGAAGCAAAAGAUAAGGAAAUUCAAGCCCGAUUUGAGUUUGAGAAUCAAGGAGGAGGUGACCAAGCAGAUAGAAGCCAACGUCGUGAGGGUCAAAACUUAUCCCACCUGUCUAGCCAACAUCGUGCCCGUACCAAGAAGGAUGGAAAGAUAAGAAUAUGUGUAGUCCAAAAGAUGAUUUCUCUCUCCCAAGCAUUCACAUUCUCAUUGAUAAUUGCGUGAAACAUGAGUUGUAGUCGUUUGUUGAUUUUUUUGUGGGAUAUCAUCGAAUUUUGAUGGACAAAAAUGAUGCAGAAAAGAUAGCCUUCAUCACUUCGUGGGAAGUAUACUCUAACAGGGUAAUGCCGUUUGGGCUCAAGAAUGCCAGUGCAACGUACAUGAGGGCCAUGACUACUUUUUUCCAUGAUAUGAUUCUCAAAGAAAUUGAAAUGUACAUGGAUGAUGUCAUCAUCAAAUCUAAAAGGAGUUUAGACCAUUUGGAUGAUUUAUGAAAGUUUUUUGAAAGACUGCGAAGGUACGACCUAAAGUUGAAUCCAACUAAAUACGCAUUUGGAGUUCCCGUGGGAAAGUUAUUGGGAUUCAUUAUUAGUAGGAGAGGUAUAGAGUUAGAUCCAUCCAAGAUAAAAGCAAUCUAAGACUUACCACCUUCUAAGACCAAAAAGGACUUAAUGAGCUUCUUGGGAAGACUUAAUUACAUUAGUCGGUUCAUAGCUCAGUCCACAAUAAUUUGUGAACUAAUAUUUAAGUUGUUGAAAAAAGAUGCCGCCACUGGAUGGACUGAAGAAUGUCAGGAGGCUUUUGAGAAAAUCAAGGAAUAUUUGUCUAACCCACCAGUAUUGGUUCCACCAGAACCAGGAAAGUCGUUGUUGUUAAAUCUAUCCGUUAUGGAUAAUGCCUUUAGAUGUGUGUUAGGGCAGCAUGAUGAUACAGGGAGGAAAGAGCAAGCCAUUUACUACCUGAGUAAGAAGUUCACCCCGUAUGAAGCUAGGUAUACAUUGUUGGAGCGGACCUGUUGCGCAUUGACCUAGGUUGUGCAAAGUUAAUCCACUACCUAUCCGCGUAUACCACGUACUUAAUUUUGAGAAUGGAUCUACUCAAAUACAUCUUUCAGAAACCAAUGCCUACUGGAAAAUUAGCAAAAUGGUAGAUUUUGUUGUGUGAGUUUGACAUUGUGUACGUGACACAAAAAGCCAUCAAAGGACAAGCUUUGGCUGAUAACCUCACAGAAAAUCCAGUGGAUCAACAUUACACGCUGCUCAAUACCUAUUUUUCCUGAUGAAGAGGUGUUUUUGCGGGAGAGAACAUCUCAGAACCAUAUGAUGGAUAGAGGAUGUUCUUCGAUGGAGCAGCGAACUUCAAAGGAGUCAGAAUUAGAGCAGUCCUAGUUUCAGAAACAGGUCAACAUUACCCAAUCUCGGCAAAGAUUAGGUUUCCUUGCACAAAUAACAUGGUAGAAUAUGAGGCUUGCAUUCUCUGGCUUAGGAUGGUAGUAGACAUGGAUAUUAAAGAGCUAUUGGUGAUAGGAGAUUCAGAUUUGUUGAUCCAUCAGGUGCAAGGAGAAUGGACCACCAAGAAUGUCAAAAUCCUUCCUUAUGUGCAAUGUGUUAAGGAAUUAAGCAAAAGGUUUACGAAGAUCGAAUUCAAGCACGUCCCUCAAAUUCAAAAUGAGUUCGUCGAUGCCUUGGAGACACUAUCUUCAAUGAUUCAGCAUCCAGAUAAGAAUUACAUCGAUCCCAUCAAAGUGGAGAUACAAGACCAACAAGCCUACUAUUUCCAUGUAGAUGAAGAGCCAGAUGGAAAGCCGUGGUACUAUGACAUUAAGAGAUUACUUGGAGUAGGAGGAUAUCCAGAAGGCACUAUUGGAAAACAGAAGAGGACUUUAAGAAGGAUGGCCAAUCAAUUCUUUCUCAACUGGGAAAUCCUAUAUAGGAGGACUCCAGACCUAGGAUUACUAUGAUGUGUCGAUGCCACAGAGGCCACAAGAUGUCAGAGGAGAUACAUACAGGAACUUGUGGACCACACAUGAAUGAUAUUAUGCUCGCAAAAAAGAUUUUGAGAGCUGGAUACUUUUAGAUGACCAUGGAGAGGGAUAACAUUCGAUUCGUGCAGAAGUGUCACCAAUGUCAAGUUCAUAGAGACUUUAUACGAGUUUCGUCAAACAAACUCAAUGUGAUAGGUUCUCCUUGGCCGUUUUCUGCUUGGGGCAUGGAUGUUAUUGGGCCCAUAGAGCCUCCUACGUCCAAUGGACAGCGUUUUAUCUUGGUCUCUAUUGAUUACUUCAUAAAGUGGGUUGAAGCCUCGACAUAUAAGGUCGUAACCAAGAAGGUGGUAGCAGAUUUUGUUCGCAAUAACUUAGUCUACCGGUUUGGAAUUCCAUAAUCAAUCAUAAUAGAUAAUGGAGCCAAUCUUAAUAGUGACCUGAUGAGAGAGAUUUAUGAAAGGUUUAAGAUCUCUCAUCGAAAUUCCACGGCAUAUCGACCACAAAAGAAUGGAGCAGUUGAAGCUGCAAACAAGAAUAUCAAGAGGAUUUUGAGGAAGAUAGUGGAUGGUAAUAGAGAAUGGCAUGAGAAGUUGUCAUAUUCUUUACUUGGAUAUCACACCACAAUCAGAACUUCUACUGGGGCAACUCCCUACAUGUUGGUUUAUGGGUCAGAAGCAGUAAUACCUGCAGAAGUGGAGAUACCUUCAUUAAGAAUUAUCCAGGAGGUUGGUCUAGAUGACGCCGAAUAGAUUCAUAGUAGGAUCAAGCAGUUGAUGUUUAUUGAUAAAAAGAUAUUAGACGCAGUCUGUCAUGGUCAACUCUAUCAAAAUAGAAUGAUUAAGGAAUUCAACAAGAAGGUCAAGCCUCGACGAUUCACACCAAAACAGUUGGUAUUGAAUAAGAUAUUCCCUCACUAAGAUAAAGCCAAAAGAAAAUUUGCACCAAACCGGUAAGGUCCUUACAUAGUUCACCGAGUACUCUCAAGAGGAGCAGUGAUAUUUGCAGAACUGGAUGGCACAGUAAGCACGAAGACGAUCAAUUGAGAUGCCAUCAAGAAGUACUACAUUUGAAGACAUUAGGAAUAGUAGUUAUUUCUUUCUUUGUACUUUUUCAUUUUUCUCCAAUGUAACAGAACUACGUAUUAGCCUGACUUCCCACGAUGGGAUACGUAGGCAGCCCACAUCGAAUUCGGUCCCUUCAUAUUUUUACCUUUCCAUUGUACUGAACUACGGCCUGACCUGAUUCUACUUGGAUAUGUAGGCAGCUUGAGUCAGGACCGGUCAUAUCGAACUACGUUAUGACCUGAUUCCUAUUUUAAGGAUACGUAGGCUGCCUAAGUCAGGCUCGUUCAUUGCACUGCAUAUUUUACUUUUCUCGUUGUAUUGAACUACGCCAUGACCUGAUUCCACUUGGAUACGUAGGCAGUUUGAGUUAGACUCGGUCAUUGCAUUUUAUUUUUCCACCCUCGAACUACAUAAAGAACUGAUUCCACUUGGAUACUUAGGCAACCUGAAAGGUUCGGUCUUACCUCUAGGAAAAUCUCCUUUGCUCAUAGUAUAGCCUCAGAAUAUAAGAGAUCUCGCCGCCAUAAUUAUCGUAGCAUCGACAGUCAGCUCCACUAGAAAGAUAAAGCUACAUGGGUCACGAUCGACAAAUGGAGGCUUAACGGAUUUUUGAACGUGUCAUAAUCUAAAAGUGAUAAAGGAUUACUAUAUAUGCUUAAUAUAUACGUAAUAUUUACGAAAACAUAUAUACAUAUAUGUAUUUUUCACCAUAAUUUCAACUUUUUCACUUACUGAGACUCCAGAUUCGGGAGUGAUUGAGCAACCGAGGGAGUGUUGGAGAAUUCCGUAAACAAAGCCAGGAUUCCCAAGUCGACACAAAUCAACACCCCCUCCCAACUAAGAAUGUUUCUUUGAGCGCAGGAAAAUAGGAAUUGAAAGACUACAUUAAGUCAAGAUUUGGGAUAGGAUCAGGGGCAUCAUGCAGCUUACCACUAUGACAUGAGCCAAAUAUUCUUCCUUUACUUUAUUCUUUUUACAUACAUUUAUACUAAUCCUCACAAACUCUAAGAGUUUUAUCCGAAUUCUUUUGCAGGUACAUUUUGAAGACCCGGGUCAGAAACUAAGAAAAGAGGAUCUUCAUAGAAAGAUUAGGCUAUUUACUACUCCCAACAAACUCCGCAAAUCGAAGAGUGUCGUCUGACCUCAAUAAAGUCUAGAUAUAAGCAAACAAAGUCAAGCUUCCGUAUUCCAAAGGACUGUAUAUAAGAAAACAAAGUCGAGCUUUCGCAUUUUGAGGACUGUAUUAAGGAAACAAAGUCGAGUUCCACAUUUUGAAGACUUUACAUAAGCAAGCAAGGCGAUCCUCUGCCAUAUCGGAGGAUACGAAUAAGCAAUACGACACUCUGCCAUAUCGGGAGUUGUGCACCAGCGAUGGGGACGCCCUACCAUAAAUCAAAAAAUGUACAUAAGCAAAGCAACACUCCUCCAUAUCGGAGAAUCGCAUUUCAAACAAACAAAGCACAGCCUGCCAAUCAAAGGCCCACACCAUAGCAAGCACGCAAGAAAGCAACUAUCACAACAACAUCAAGUUCCAAUAGCAAUAACAUCAUUUAGUUCAGACUGAAGGUCGCCUUGCCAAUAAAAGGCAAUUUACCAUUGGGCAAAUGUCCCGCCAUCGGAGGCUUUACUUUUCAAACACUGCUCGCCAUUCAGAUGGUACUUACUUCUCAAUUACUCAGCCGACGGAGGCUAUUUACACUUCAGCCGACGAAGGCUAUUUACAUUUCAGUCAACAGAGGCUAUUUACAUUUUGGACGAUGGAGGCUAUUUAUAUUUCAGCCGUCAGAGGCUAUUUACAUUCAAGAAGAUGCUCAGCCGAUAGAGUCUAUUUACAGUUUAGCCGGCAGAGGCUAUUUACAUUCCAUCCGACGGAGGCUAUUUACAUUUCAGCCAACGGAGGCUAUCUACAUUUCAGUUAUUGCCCCGCCAGUCGGAGUCCUUCAAAAAUGGAGACAAUAUUAGUUUGAAUAUCUAAACUCUACUCUUUAUAUAACGAUUUCAAUUUAUAAUUUUUCGAACGACAGGUAAUUUUUAUCCUGUUACCUGUUUUGUAGGACCAUGCAGUACAAUGUAGAACUACCCUCUUAGCAGCAAACUGGGGCAAGCUAGCGGAAUGUCAAACAUCCCUGGCUACGUCAAGGAUUCCGGCAAAGAAACUCAACUCAACUCAAUUCAAGUUUUCAUUUUCAUAACUUUUAAGUGUCAUUACCCAGUGUCAUCUUAAUCAAGCACUGGGACAAUCUUUGAAGAUCUUUAAUUUCCUUUUUCUCCCAAAAUCCUCAGCAGAUAUUCCUAUCCAACGUCUCCUCAUCCUCAGCUAUUCUGAACAACCAAUUUCGGUACUUGCACCUCUAUCCUUUUCCAUUCGUGCUAAAAUCUUUAUUAUCCUUCUAGAAGGAACCCAAUGUCACCAUAAUUCUAUAUUGGGCAAAUUUUGAGGUUCAUCAAACUUUACUACAACUCGAAAUAUAAAUGGCCUGAUUUCUUGUGGAGCCCGAGAUAUGUAGGCAGCUAGAAAAUCGAAGCCCGGCCAUAAUCUUCCAAACAUUUUAUUUUGCCUGAGACAAAAUUGGUUACGUCAACAUGAGUGCCCAAAGAUUUUCAAUCUUCGGUCCCUCAGUAGCAACUGUUGACACUCAAUUUUGACUCGUCAUUUUUCCUUUAAUUACUUUUCUGAUGCUUCUUGGUCCUAAAUAAUUUUCAAAAAUUAAAUAAAAAUAAGAUUCGUAUUUUUUUUGAUAUUUCUACAAGUUUUAAUAAAAAGGGAAUUUAUUUUUAUUUAUAAAAUUACUUUAAUUAAAUAUAAUUAAAUAUUUUGACAUUAAAAUCACAAAAUAUAUAUAUCUUUUGGUGGUCACAUUCGCAUUCUUUCUAACUUUAUUUUUGGGCAGUAUUGUGACCUUAUAUGUAUAUUUUUAUCAUACAAAAUAUAUUUUUAUAAGAUGUACAUAUAUUAUUAUUAUAUUCUUAUUUUAAUGUAUUUUAUUAUAUUCUUAUAUUUAUAUAUGUAUAUAUAUACAUAUUUUGUUAAUAGGAAAGUCGCAAAAUAUUAAGUUAGACUUCUGUACAAAUUAUGUCUGUAAACUAAAAAAAUAAUUUUUAGAAUAUCAGAAAGCAUCGAUAAAUUUAAUUUCAAUAGAAAAAGAGUAUUCGGGCUAACAAUAGUUCAACUUCUUUUUUAUUUUAUUUUACUUUUCAUCCGAACCCAACUCUUAUUUUAUGAAUUUCAGCCAAGAGCUCGAAUAUCAGUCCAAAUCAGUAUAAUUUCUAUGCCCGCUUCGUCAUUCUACCUUAACGAAUAUUAUUUGACCCAAUCUGUCGAUUUAUUUUGAAUCCGAUGGAUCUCGAAUUUUCAAAUAUAUAUAUAUAUUAUAAUUUACCUUUUUAUAUAUUUUUAAAAAUUUGAACUAUUCCGAUCAAAUACCAAACGGAUAAAACAAUAAUCAAUUCUUAAUUAGCUUUUUGUGUAUUUAUUUAUAUAUAAUUUAUAUUAUUAUUUUUAAGAUUGCUAUUUUUAAGACCGUCUGAUCUUUGAUCAAACGGAUCAAAAUGGAUCAAUAUAUGCAAGGUCAGUGCAUUCAAUAAAAGAGUUCACGCCUUUGCUUUGGCAGAAAUACGCGUACUCUCUUCCUAAGAAAAUAUUGAUAGGUCUCCGUCAUCUCUUUCCCAAAACAACAACAACAAUGGCCUCCUUCCCCUCUUCUCCUCUUUUCCUUCUCCUCUCACCCCAAACGAGAAACCUUAAGAUCUCCGUAGCUAGCCAUCGUCUGCCACCUACCUACACGAAUCUUCCAUUUCUAUCACCCUAAGCCAACAAAUCAUCAAAAAUCAGUCCCUAAUUUAUGCAAAAAUGAAACUUUCUGAGGAUUUGCAGCUAAAGCUUGAUAAAAACUGAAAUUUUUGUAGAUGGAUGUCAUAAUUUUGAAUUCAAAUCUCAUCUCCAUAAAAAUGUGCUUCAAAUUCGGACUUUGGAUUCCGGAUUUUGGCUAUAAAUAGCCCCACAAUCGCCAUCAUCAGGAUCAAGUUGGAUAUUAAAGGAAAAUCAGACUACAUUCACAAAAGUUUCACUAGAAAAGUCACAAAAAAGUUAUUAAUUUCUUCGCUUAAUUUCGGUGUUUGAUCGAGUCCUGAAAUUCGAGUUUUGGCGGCCGGAAUACUCGACAAGAAGCCCGAGUUUGCUGCACAAUACAAGGUACGAAUCCGAUUCUUUUGAAUUCAUUUUCUUUUUCCUCCCUUUGUGCAUGUCGAUUCUGUGAAUACGAAAUUCAUUAUGAUUGCUAAUUGGUGUUGUGUUGCUGUCUUGGCGUUACGGAUGGGAGUGUGGUUAUAAUUUUAGUUAUUUGCUCCGUGAGCAUGUCAUUUAGUUUAGAUUUUGGCUGAAAAAAUGAUUUCUGGUACAAGUUUUAAGUUGUCGUUAAUCCUAGUGGGUCUAAAUGUGAUCGUUCAUCGGGUUUAAGUUGUUGUUUGGGCGUGGGUGGAUAAGUAUUAAUUCUGGUAGUCAGUAGAAUUAGGUGUACAAUGCGAAUUUUUUAUCAAGCUUAUAUUGGUUUUGACUCAAAAAUUGAUUCGUGUAUAAAUGUGUGAUUCUCUUGUUGUUCCGUUUAACCUAUUUUGCUUUUGCCGAAAAACACAACUUUUGCAGUCAUAUUAUGUGUAUGUAGGAGUCUGUGAGCGCGCCUCGCUCUUCCCUUUACUCUCUUUCCUUUUAAAUUUCAAAUACAUGCUUAAUAUGGUAUCACGAAUGACUUUUAAAUAUAUACCAUUCCUUUGAUUGUGUGAAUUUCCCCUUCCUGCUUUACUUUCUCUUCAUCUCAUUUUUUUAUUUUAUUUUUAUUAUUAUUUUUACGACAUGUUGUUUUCUGUCGUUAAGUUUUGUUGUUGAUGCCUUCAUCGACCUCGGGAAUAGGAUAAGUCUAACUUCGUGAAAUCGCCUUUGGUUCAAAACCAACUUUUAUGAAUACAUGACCGAUAAAUACGCUAAUGGUUUGGGCUGCCUCAGAUUAAGUUCAUAUUAGCACCUUUGUUCGUUCCCUGCAAACUAAGUUUAGCAUAGAGCUUUGAAGUUGUCCAGUUGCUUGAUGUGGUUGCUUUAAACAUUAAUAUUGUUUGUUGCUGCAUUUGGUCCUAUGAGCAAGUAUUCGGGUCUUUCAAGAUCACAUUUAUGUAUAUACAAGUUCUUGGGCACGAAAAUACAAGACAUAAUUUGGUUUGAUUUUCAGUUAUGGUACUGCUGUCCGUUUUUCUGUAAAAUCAGGUCCGACAACAAGAUUUUAUUUUAAGUUACAUGGUUGUCCAUUUUACGUAGAUAUGGUUUGGGGUCGUUUAUUGGGUAUUAUAUCAAAGUCUAUUUCGAUUCGUUUGUCGUAAAAUAGACAUCUCCUUAUAAUAAAGAUAGGAGUAUAAAUGCAAUUUCAAAGGGAAAUAUAUUUUUGUAAUUGAAAUAAAAUGUUUGGUUAUAGUCCUUUUGCAAAAUACUUAAUUAAUGAGUUUUAUCACUUUAAUUAAAAAAUUUCAAAUAAAUAGUUAUAAAUAGGUUUCAACUAGUCAACCCUCUUAUGUUUUCAAGUAGCUCAUCAAUCAAAUUUGUUUUUUCGUUUAACUCAACAUAAUCUAAACGUUUAUUACACUACACUUAUUUCUAACGUUAUUUAAAGUUUUCUGAUUUUACAAAUCUCCAUACAGAAGGUAUGUAGGCAUUCGUACACUACCAUAAGGAAUAUUUUUCACUAUUACUAUUCUUAUUCUUACUAUUGUACUAUUAUUAUAUAUUAUCAUUUGUGUGUUAUAUCAAUUCUACUACCACAUUUUACUUUACUCGCUUUCAAUAUAUUGAAAUCUCAUAAAUCAAGUAAAUUUUUGCAUCUUUCAUGUACUCUCACAUAUAUACAUAUUAAAGUUUAUCUUACAAUGAAUGAACUCUCGCAUACUUUAGAGUAUACUUUUCUAUUUUUAUAACGACUUGUUUAUGUAUUUGACUUAAUAUACCUUUAAACAUAUUUUCAUAUAAAAUUAUGACGCUUCUAUAUUUUCUACUACAGGUAUAAUAAAGGUACUACUCUUCUCCAUAUUUCUGGAAACAUUCAUAUAUGUAUUUUGCAAUUUUCAUAUUACGUGCUUGUAUAUUCUAGUAUUACAUCUUAUAUACCUUGAAUAUCAUUUUCGAUAAUAAUAAAAGUUUUCUCAUCAUUGUUUUAAGCAAAUAAUAAAAAAAAAAAUUUUAAUAUUUUUCUAAACUAAGCAUAAGGACUAUCUUCGGAUAGGCCUAGAAGGGUGCCUAACACCUUUCCCUCGGGUAACCAAAAUCCUUACUCCGAAUCUCUAUAUAUUUUUGAAAGACCAAAACAGAGUUUUCUACAAAAAAAAAAAAAAAAAAUAGUUUUUUCUAAUUUUCCUAAAAAGUUAGGUGGCGACUCUAAAAAAUAAUUUUCAAAUCCCAAGAAUCACUAAACGCCACCAUACAUCAUGUGUUGUUUUGACUGGUUCAAAAUAGGGCGCGACACGCUUAACCAUUUUCAAGUAACUAAGUUACCUUCCAAACCACAUUCAAAAUAAAAAUUAACCUUUAAAGUCCCUACACUUAACCGUUUUCAACCAACUAAGUUACUUAUCAAACCACAUUCAAAACAAAAAAAAAUCUCUUUUAAAGUCCCUACACUUAACCAUUUUCAAGCAACUUAGUCACCUACCAAACCACAUUCAAAACAAAAAAAAUCCGCUUUAAAGUCCCUACACUUAACCAUUUUCGACCAACUACGACAACUACCAAACCACAUUCAAAACAAAAAUUUCCCUUUAAAGUCCCUACACUUAACCAUUUCCAAGCAACUAAGUCAACUACCAAACCACAUUCAAAACAAAAAAAAAUUCUUUUAAAGUUCCUACACUUAACAAUUUUCAAGCAACUAAGUCACCUACCAAACCAUAUUCAAAACAAGAAAAUCCGCUUUAAAGUCCCCACACUUAAUCAUUUUCAAGCAAACUAAGUCACCUACCAAACCAUAUUCAAAAUAAAAAAACUCCCCUUUAAUGUCCCUACACUCAAUCAUUUUCAAUCAACUAAGUCACCUACCAAACCACAUUCAAAAUAAAAAAAUUUCCUUUAAAGUCCCUACACUUAACCAUUUUCAAGCAACUAAGUCACCUACCAAAGCACAUUCAAAACAAAAAAUCUCCUUUAAAGUCCCUACACUUAACAAUUUUCAAGUAACUAAGUCACCAAUCAAAUCACAUUUAAAAUAAAAAAUUCCCUUUAAAGUCCUUACACUUAAUCAUUUUCAAGUAACUAAGUCAACAACCAAACCACAUUCAAAACAAACAACAACAAGACCAACAAGAUGUCAACAAUAAUGCUAGUGAAUCGAACAAGGCCACACACGGCUUCACUAGACUUUAAUAUGGACAAUAACAAGAAGAUAACAACAAUGCUAGUGAAUCGAACAAGGCCACACACAGCUUCACUAGACUUCUAUAUGAACAAUAACAAGACUUCAUUAUAAGAAAAUAAAGAGAAAUCAACUUACCUUUGCAUGACCUAAAUUAAAGAGAAAGAGAUAAGCAGUCACUUGUAAAAUAGCAAAGCAAUUCUUUCCCAAAUUUAGAUUAUGUUAAACAAUAAAAUUAUUUGAAAGAAUAAUCUUUGGCUUAAACAAUUGCAACAACACUUUUGUAAAAGCUAUCACAUUUAUGACUUUCCUUUCGACUAACAACAACAAUGGUGCAUGAGUUUAAAAUUAUGUACCAUUUGCCCUCAAAAAUAUCUUGUUUAUAGAAAAAUGUAAAGACUAAAACAAUUUACAAGAAAUGAAACAAGCAAACGUAAUAAAAAUUACUCGUCAACAAUUCAACGUCCUGAUGAAGCACAAAAUCAAACUCAUCACAAAUUUAGAAAACCCAAACAAUAAAGCUUCACUAAUUCGAGCUUCUAGUGAAGCUUAAAGUUAAAAUCAACACAAAUUUGACAAACAAAACAACAAAUCUCAGACAACUCAAACUUCUAAGGAAAAAUUUCCAAACCAAACAACAACAAUAUAGAAUCACAAUAUGAAAUCUUUACAAUUUCUCGGACAACUCAAGCUUCUAAUGUGUGUUAGUCGAAAUGGAUAGUUAAGAGAAGAAGGGAACAACAUACUUGUGUGUGUGAAGUCGUCGGAGGUCGAUUUGCCAUUGCCGGAGGAGGUGCCGUCGCUGGAGGAGAUGUGUAUGUGUGUGUC